rnacentral:rRNA from 1 species
AUGAUAUGCUUCUUCGCAGUCGAGUGGCACUUUGUAGACCGUGUGGCAAGACAAUUUGGAAAAAGACAAGGUAUUCCAAUUGAGGAGAGCAAGGAGGAAAUGCUAUCUCUGCAUCGGUUCGAUCGAAGGAACAAUCAGGAUAUAUCGGAUUGGGCAAACAAACACCGUGCGUGGAUAGAAAUUUGGAAUCAAAGAGACACGUUAGUGCAAUCAGAGAAUAGACCUCACAAUCAGUCAGCAUAUCAGAAGUAUCAAGUGUGGUAUGCGGAUCGUUACCGGUUAAAGCUGAAGCCAGGUUGGACUCACGAGGAGUGGUCGGAGUUGGUGUCUGAAGACCCGGAGACUGAAGAAGGUUAUCAUACCUUCAACACGGCUGUGAGAGACACCAGAGGGGCUCAUGUUGACUACGCACCGAUGCAUGACGAAAUGGUAGUCUGUUUGACCUAUUCUAACAUACUUGCAUCAUGUUGUCUUCUUUCAAAUACAUAA